rnacentral:rRNA from 1 species
UACGUAGGGUGCGAGCGUUAAUCGGAAUUACUGGGCGUAAAGCGUGCGCAGGCGGUUUUUUAAGACAGGCGUGAAAUCCCCGGGCUUAACUGGAACUGCGCUUGUGACUGGAAGGCUAGAGUACGGCAGAGGGGGGUGGAAUUCCACGUGUAGCAGUGAAAUGCGUAGAGAUGUGGAGGAACACCGAUGGCGAAGGCAGCCCCCUGGGCCGAUACUGACGCUCAUGCACGAAGCGUGGGGAGCAACAGG